rnacentral:rRNA from 1 species
AGCUCUGACGGUACCUGAGGAAUCAGCCUCGGCUAACUCCGUGCCAGCAGCCGCGGUAAUUACGGAGGAGGCAAGCGUCUUCCGGAAUAAUUGGGCGUAACGCGUCCGCAGGUGGCGAUUCAAGUCCUGCUGUCAAAGCACGGGGCUUAACUCCGUUAAGAGCCGUGGAAACUGAAUAGCUAGAGUUGCCGUAAGGGUAAGAGGGAAUUCCCGGUGUAGCGGUGCAAAUGCGUAGAGAUCGGGAAGGACAUCGGUGGCGAAAGCGCUCUUACUGGACGGCAACUGACACUCAGGGACGAAAGCUAGGGGAGCGAAUGGGAUUAGAUUACCCCAGUAGUCCUAGCUGUAAACGAUGGAUACUAGGUGUAGCUUGUAUCGACCCGAGCUGUGCCGAAGCUAACGCGUUAAGUAUCCCGCCUGGGGAGUACGCACGCAAGUGUGAAACUCAAAGGAAUUGACGGGGGCCCGCACAAGCGGUGGAGUAUGUGGUUUAAUUCGAUGCAACGCGAAGAACCUUACCAGGGCUUGACAUGUCCGGAAUCCCGGUGAAAGCUGGGAGUGCCUUCGGGAGCCGGAACACAGGUGGUGCAUGGCUGCCGUCAGCUCGUGUCGUGAGAUGUUGGGUUAAGUCCCGCAACGAGCGCAACCCUCGUCUUUAGUUGCCAGCAUUAAGUUGGGCACUCUAGAGAGACUGCCGGUGACAAACCGGAGGAAGGUGGGGAUGACGUCAGGUCAGCAUGCCCCUUACGCUCUGGGCGACACACGUACUACAAUGGUCGGGACAGAGGGCAG